CCUUACUGUGAUGCAUCUAGUUGUACUAUAAUAGUUUUUUUAAAAUUAGACUUGUUCCAAGCUAAGAACCUUCUUUGAGGCAUAAAAAAGCAAUUUAACUGUGUUUUAGGGAUUUUCUUUGUCUUUUUGUUUUUUUCUUGAUGACCUCCUUUCUCUGUAAAAGCAAUGAAAGCCUCUAUGUUCUCGGAAAAAAUCGUAUUACUUUUCCAUUCCCUCACCAGAUACCCAAGGGACUUUGUCUUCAAGCAAGCCAGUACACAUUUGGAGGUUAACAGCUGAGACAGCUUUUUCUAUCUGUUCUUAUAGGAUCUUCUAAAUGAUUCAAGCAACUCUUUCAGUGGGGCUCUAAGGGAAUAAUGUGACCCAAACAGGCUGCUUGUUUUGGACCUGAGCAGUGGAUCUCUGAAGCAACUGGAUCUGAGCAUAGAUCUUCUGUGCUCUUUUGUGAAAGAGCUCUUUUGUGAAAUCCAGUACUUGAUAUUUUGCAUCCUUUAACAAGUGUAAAAAUUCACCUCCAUGGGACCUUAGCACAUGCUGAAGCAGCCUGAAUUUCCUAAGUUUCAAAGCCCACUUCUCCCAUGGCUACCACACAGAGUAGCGGAUGGCUCAGUCACUUGCGCUAUAAACUUUGGUUCUAUUUUUUGCACUGCUUUAGGGUUCAGCUCUUCGGCGUCUUUUGGAAAGCACACGAUAAUCAGCAUCAGUAACUUGCAGGAUAAUAUCAGCCCUUCCUCACUUGACAAAAAAGGCCAGAGGAACAUAGCAGCCAAGUUCAGGCUGGGCCUAGAAGAAGAGACUCAGUGUGCAUACCCAGGUGACCACACACAGAUGAUGGCGGAGGGCAGAAGAUGGGACACCUGCAAUGCUGGGUUAUUCUCAGCCGUCUCUCAUCCUGGGCUCAGCAAAACGCUUCUCCCAGCACAGAAGUAUUUGAGCCACAAGAGGUCACUGGUAACACCGCUAAAAACAGCUCCCAGGUUUGCUAGCCGUAAGGGCUGUGCUUGAGCUGUUCUCCUUUAACCUCCCAUCUUUUACUUUUACUUUUAGUUGUCAGGUAUCACCUACCGCAUGGACUGAAACUCCUUGCACCUAAAGGAUACCUGUCAGCAGUGCAACAAGCAACGUGCUGGCCAGCAGCAGCAUGCACCAAACACCCUUCUCUCAACUCCUCGCCACUCUGGGCGAGGUAUGUGGCCGCUGAUUUGGAAAAGGCAGCCACUCCUGGCAGUGGCCAUGGUCUUGUCAGUGCCAGGAUGUUAUUCUGAUGAUUUCAUGGAGACAUUGUGGAUUUCAGGUCAAACUAACUGGGAAACAGUUUUAUUUCACUGAAGCUUCGGGGAUUUCAUUUUUUUUCUCUUUUUGAACUGCAAUGCAAACAAAACCUCUCACAUGUUUUCUGGAAAUGGGACCAUGUCAGUGUGCCUGUGGGGGGGGCUGCAGCGUGAAAAUCCCAGCCUGGCUUCCUCAACAGAGGAAGAGCUAAAGUUUGUUUGAGGCUUUUUUUUUUUUUUAAAUCGCAAAGCACUCACUUGUAAGGUAUGAGAGAUCUGUGUUCAGUUCUGCUUUCUGCCUAAUGUGGCUCCCACAUCCUGAAGAAAUUUCCCCAGG
rnacentral:lncRNA from 1 species